rnacentral:ncRNA from 1 species
UUGAAAAAUAUAAUUUCAACAACAUCCCUUCAAUGGGGUGUAUCCAUUCACCGUACAUUUAUGAAGACCGUAUGGAGAUAAAUAAAAAUAUUUCCUUCGAUAUGCGUUUCAUUACAAACGCAAUUGCCUACCAGCGGGCAUAGAGUAGCAACAUCUACAAUACACUGGCAAAAUUGCACAACUAUUUAAAUAGGCAAAUGUUAUAGCCAAAUGCCUCGUCAUCUAAUUAGUGACGCGCAUGAAUGGAUUAACGAGAUUCUCACUGUCCCUAUCUACUUUCUAGCGAAACCACUGCCAAGGGAACGGGCUUGG